UCUAAGGUCUUAAAGGUUUAUUUGUUCGAUAUUUCCGUUUAUAGUCACAAUGUAUUUGAUCCAGCAAACCACCAGCUCUUCCUGGUAGAAGGUUUCCGUUUGGUGACUGAAUUACUUCGUCUAAGACAUCAAAGGUCUUUCUUAGACUCCUUUAGUGGUACUAAUUUGAUAAAAAACUGAAGCAGCGAAGUUUAGAGAGGGUAUUCUAAGGUCUUAAAGGUUUAUUUGUUCGAUAUUUCCAUUUAUAGUCACAAUGUAUUUGAUCCAGCAAACCACCAGCUCUUUCUGGUAGAAGAUUUUCAUUUGGUGAUUGAAUUACUUCGUCUAACACAUCAAAGGUCUUUCUUAGACUCCUUUAGUGGUACUAAUUUGAUAAAAAACUGAAGCAGCGAGGUAUAUAGAGGGUAUUCUAAGGUCUUAAAGGUUUAUUUGUUCGAUAUUUCCGUUUAUAGUCACAAUGUAUUUGAUCCAGCAAACCACCAGCUCUUCCUGGUAGAAGGUUUCCGUUUGGUGAUUGAAUCACUUCGUCUAAGACAUCAACGGUUUUCCUUAGACUCCUUUAGUGCUAUUAAUUUGAUAAAAAACUGAAGCAGCGAAGUUUAGAGAGGGUAUUCUAAGGUCUUAAAGGUUCCUUUGUUCGAUUUUUCUGUUUAUAGUCACAAUGUAUUUGAUCCAGCAAACCACCAGCUCUUUCUGGUAGAAGAUUUUCAUUUGGUGAUUGAAUUACUUCGUCUAACACAUCAAAGGUCUUUCUUAGACUCCUUUAGUGGUACUAAUUUGAUAAAAAACUGAAGCAGCGAGGUAUAUAGAGGGUAUUCUAAGGUCUUAAAGGUUUAUUUGUUCGAUAUUUCCGUUUAUAGUCACAAUGUAUUUGAUCCAGCAAACCACCAGCUCUUCCUGGUAGAAGGUUUCCGUUUGGUGAUUGAAUCACUUCGUCUAAGACAUCAACGGUUUUCCUUAGACUCCUUUAGUGCUAUUAAUUUGAUAAAAAACUGAAGCAGCGAAGUUUAGAGAGGGUAUUCUAAGGUCUUAAAGGUUCCUUUGUUCGAUUUUUCUGUUUAUAGUCACAAUGUAUUUGAUCCAGCAAACCACCAGCUCUUUCUGGUAGAAGAUUUUCAUUUGGUGAUUGAAUUACUUCGUCUAACACAUCAAAGGUCUUUCUUAGACUCCUUUAGUGGUACUAAUUUGAUAAAAAACUGAAGCAGCGAGGUAUAUAGAGGGUAUUCUAAGGUCUUAAAGGUUUAUUUGUUCGAUAUUUCCGUUUAUAGUCACAAUGUAUUUGAUCCAGCAAACCACCAGCUCUUCCUGGUAGAAGGUUUCCGUUUGGUGAUUGAAUCACUUCGUCUAAGACAUCAACGGUUUUCCUUAGACUCCUUUAGUGCUAUUAAUUUGAUAAAAAACUGAAGCAGCGAAGUUUAGAGAGGGUAUUCUAAGGUCUUAAAGGUUCCUUUGUUCGAUUUUUCUGUUUAUAGUCACAAUGUAUUUGAUCCAGCAAACCACCAGCUCUUUCUGGUAGAAGAUUUUCAUUUGGUGAUUGAAUUACUUCGUCUAACACAUCAAAGGUCUUUCUUAGACUCCUUUAGUGGUACUAAUUUGAUAAAAAACUGAAGCAGCGAGGUAUAUAGAGGGUAUUCUAAGGUCUUAAAGGUUUAUUUGUUCGAUAUUUCCGUUUAUAGUCACAAUGUAUUUGAUCCAGCAAACCACCAGCUCUUCCUGGUAGAAGGUUUCCGUUUGGUGAUUGAAUCACUUCGUCUAAGACAUCAACGGUUUUCCUUAGACUCCUUUAGUGCUAUUAAUUUGAUAAAAAACUGAAGCAGCGAAGUUUAGAGAGGGUAUUCUAAGGUCUUAAAGGUUCCUUUGUUCGAUUUUUCUGUUUAUAGUCACAAUGUAUUUGAUCCAGCAAACCACCAGCUCUUUCUGGUAGAAGAUUUUCAUUUGGUGAUUGAAUUACUUCGUCUAACACAUCAAAGGUCUUUCUUAGACUCCUUUAGUGGUACUAAUUUGAUAAAAAACUGAAGCAGCGAGGUAUAUAGAGGGUAUUCUAAGGUCUUAAAGGUUUAUUUGUUCGAUAUUUCCGUUUAUAGUCACAAUGUAUUUGAUCCAGCAAACCACCAGCUCUUCCUGGUAGAAGGUUUCCGUUUGGUGAUUGAAUCACUCCGUCUAAUACAUACCCAUCCAUCCAUAUCCAAAAUUCUGAACAUAUUCUAAGGUCUUAAAGCUCAAUCUGUAGGUAUAUAGCCUUUGAUCCAGCAAGCCACCAGCUUCCGUGUACCUUCCUGGUAGAUGGUGUUGAUUUGGUCAUACCGACGAUCUUCUAAAGGUUCCUUCUUCUUUAAUAGGGCUAUCGCCUGUUCUUUCUUCGACAUUUCUCCUCAUCCUUUCUCUAUGUUGUUUCCACCUCUUUCGUGAUCGACCACGAUUCACGUGAAUAAAAAGUUAAUGAAAUGGAGAAACGAACACGUCAUGAAAAUAGCCUUCCAGGUCAUAACAUCGCUCAAUCAUAAAAUUAAAACUAAUAUUAUCAAAUCGUGUGAUUAAAUUUUAAAUUAAAAAAUCAUUCGUACGUGACGGUUCCAAAAUAGCAACACCUUCAGUUAGUUACCAUCGUUACCGAUAUGUUUUAACGUACACUCACAACAAAUGGAAACCAUGUGUCUGCCAGUGGUAGGAUAAACCUUCAAUAACCAUAAUAAAAUUGAUAGAAAUGUCGAAAUUUGUCAGUGGGAACAAAAUUGAUUUGAAAUUAAACGGUGAUAAAGUAAGUGAUUUAUAAUUUGUAAUAUUUUGAGGUUAUACAGAUUUUUUUAUAGAUCAAUUUGGAGGCUAGAUGUAGGAAUAAUUACAGUAGCACAGCUAGUUCCAAAUCUAUAUUAUUAACCAAAAAAUAUUUACGACCGGCUUCGACGAUCCCUUCGCUGAAUUUAAGGGACAGUACACAUCUUGAACAUGAAAUUACAUCGGCGGAACGUCCGUUUUCAGCUGGUUACGUUCCGAAGAAGUUUCAAAAAAAUUAUUCACAACAUCUCGAUGGAAGUACUGAAGAAUUAGACGACGAAAUAUUACCAUCUUCAUUUAUUUUGAAAAAUAUGUUACAAGAACCCGUGGAUUUUUGGAAUACCACAAAACAAUUGAAAUGUCUGGGC